CUGGUUGAUCCUGCCAGAGGUUACUGCUAUCGAGAUUCGACUAAGCCAUGCGAGUUGAAUGUUCUUCGUGAACAUGGCGGACUGCUCAGUAACACGUGGACAACCUACCCUUUGGUCCGGCAUAAUCCUGGGAAACUGGGGAUAAUUCCGGAUAGGUCACAGAUGCUGGAAUGCACUGUGGCUGAAAGCUCCGGCGCCGAAGGAUGGGUCUGCGGCCUAUCAGGGUUGUAGUGGGUGUAAUGUACCUACUAGCCUACGACGGGUACGGGUUGUGAGAGCAAGAGCCCGGAGAUGGAUUCUGAGACACGAAUCCAGGGCCUACGGGGUGCAGCAGGCGCGAAAACUUUACAAUGCGGGAAACCGUGAUAAGGGAAUCUCGAGUGGCAGCAUAUAAUGGUGGCUGGCCAGAUGCCUAAAAAGCAUCUGUUAGCAAGGGCCGGGCAAGACCGGUGCCAGCCGCCGCGGUAACACCGGCGGGCCCGAGUGGUGACGGCUUUUAUGUGGUCUAAAGGGUCUGUAGCCGGCCAGGUAGGUCCCUUGGGAAAGUCUGGCAGCUCAGUGUCAGGCUGCUAGGGGAUACUGUUUUGGCUUGGACCGGGAGAGGUGAGAGGUACCUUNGGGGGUAGGGGUGGAAAUCUUGUGGAUCUUCGGGGGACCACCAGUGGGCGAGGGCUCUUCCCCCGACGGGGUCCCACGGGAAGGGAACCAAAGCUAGG
rnacentral:rRNA from 1 species